GUGGGGAAUCUUAGACAAUGGGGGAAACCCUGAUCUAGCCAUGCCGCGUGAUCGAUGAAGGCCUUAGGGUUGUAAAGAUCUUUCAGGUGGGAAGAUAAUGACUGUACCACCAGAAGAAGCCCCGGCUAACUCCGUGCCAGCAGCCGCGGUAAUACGGAGGGGGCUAGCGUUGUUCGGAAUUACUGGGCGUAAAGCGCACGUAGGCGGAUUGGAAAGUUGGGGGUGAAAUCCCGGGGCUCAACCCCGGAACUGCCUUCAAAACUCCCAGUCUUGAGUUCGAGAGAGGUGAGUGGAAUUCCGAGUGUAGAGGUGAAAUUCGUAGAUAUUCGGAGGAACACCAGUGGCGAAGGCGGCUCACUGGCUCGAUACUGACGCUGAGGUGCGAAAGCGUGGGGAGCAAACAGGAUUAGAAACCCGAGUAGUUC
rnacentral:rRNA from 1 species